rnacentral:rRNA from 1 species
GAUGAACGCUGGCGGCGUGCCUAAUACAUGCAAGUCGAGCGAACGGACGAGAAGCUUGCUUCUCUGAUGUUAGCGGCGGACGGGUGAGUAACACGUGGAUAACCUACCUAUAAGACUGGGAUAACUUCGGGAAACCGGAGCUAAUACCGGAUGAUAUUUUGAACCGCAUGGUUCAAAAGUGAAAGAAGGUCUUGCUGUCACUUAUAGAUGGAUCCGCGCUGCAUUAGCUAGUUGGUAAGGUAACGGCUUACCAAGGCAACGAUGCAUAGCCGACCUGAGAGGGUGAUCGGCCACACUGGAACUGAGACACGGUCCAGACUCCUACGGGAGGCAGCAGUAGGGAAUCUUCCGCAAAGGGCGAAAGCCUGACGGAGCAACGCCGCGUGAGUGAUGAAGGUCUUCGGAUCGUAAAACUCUGUUAUUAGGGAAGAACAUAUGUGUAAGUAACUAUGCACGUCUUGACGGUACCUAAUCAGAAAGCCACGGCUAACUACGUG